rnacentral:rRNA from 1 species
UUUUUAGUGGCAUGUCCUGGACCCGAAGCGGGGUGAUCUACCCAUGGCCAGUGUGAAGCAGCUGUAAGAGGUUGUGGAGGCGCGAACCCACGUAGGUUGAAAACUGCGGGGAUGAGCUGUGGGUAGGGGUGAAAGGCCAAUCAAACUCCGUGAUAGCUGGUUCUCCCCGAAAUGCAUUUAGGUGCAGCGUCGCAUUAGCUUGGUGGAGGUAGAGCUACUGGUUGGUUGAGCGGGACUACAAUCUUAGCAAUGUCAGCCAAACUCCGAAUGCCAUUAAUGUGUUGUGCGGCAGUGAGACUGUGGGGGAUAAGCUUCAUAGUCGAGAGGGAAACAGCCCAGAUCGCCGGUUAAGGCCCCUAAGGGUGUGCUAAGUGGAAAAGGAUGUGGGAUCGCGAAGACAGCCAGGAGGUUGGCUUAGAAGCAGCCAUCCUUGAAAGAGUGCGUAAUAGCUCACUGGUCGAGUGGUUUCGCGCCGACAAUGUAGUGGGGCUCAAGCACACCGCCGAAGCCGCGGCAAUACUUUUGUUAUUGGGUAGGGGAGCGUCGUGCAUGUUGUGAAGCGUUACCGUAAGGCGGCGUGGAGUAUGUGCGAGUGAGAAUGCAGGCAUGAGUAACGAAUUGGUAGGUGAGAAUCCUACCCGCCGGAUGACUAAGGGUUCCUGGGUCAAGUUCGUCUUCCCAGGGUGAGUCGGGACCUAAGGCGAGGCCGACAGGCGUAGUCGAUGGAUAACCAGUUGAUAUUCUGGUACCCGUAUACAUGCGCCCCUGAUAAAGCACUGAUACUAACCACCGCGGAUACGACACGUAACUAACUUUGUUGGUUGGUGUUGUUGAUGUCGUGGGGCCUGAUGUGUGGUUCAAGCGAUGGGGUGACACAGUGGGGUAGCCAAGCCGCUUAAUGGAUUGUUGGUGUAAGCGUGUAGCCGGAGGCAUAGGUAAAUCCGUGCCUUAAUUGAAGGUGAGACGUGAUGCGUAGCCCGAUUGGGGUGAAGUUGGUGAUCCCGUGCUGUCGAGAAAAGCCUCUAGCGAUGUAUGUAUAUGGCCCGUACCCUAAACCGACACAGGUAGUCAGGUUGAAAAUACUAAGGCGUUCGGGUGAACUGUGGUUAAGGAACUCGGCAAAAUGCCCCCGUAACUUCGGGAGAAGGGGGACCACAUACCGUGACAAGUCCUUGCGGCUUGAAGCGGUGUGGGGUCGCAGAGAAUAGAGGGAAGCGACUGUUUAUCAAAAACACAGGUCCAUGCGAAGACGUUAAGUUGAUGUAUAUGGACUGACGCCUGCCCGGUGCUGGAAGGUUAAGAGGACCGGUUAGUACAUCGUUGAUGUGCGAAGCUGAGAAUUUAAGCCCCAGUAAACGGCGGUGGUAACUAUAACCAUCCUAAGGUAGCGAAAUUCCUUGUCGGGUAAGUUCCGACCUGCACGAAUGGCGUAACGACUUCCCUGCUGUCUCAACCACAGGCCCGGUGAAAUUGCACUACGAGUAAAGAUGCUCGUUACGCGCGGCAGGACGAAAAGACCCCGGGACCUUCACUAUAGCUUGGUAUUGGUGUUUGGUUCGGUUUGUGUAGGAUAGGUGGGAGACUUAGAAACUAUCACGCCAGUGAUGGUGGAGUCGUUGUUGAAAUACCACUCUGAUCGGAUUGAGCACCUUAACCUUGGCCCAUGAUCUGGGUUGGGGACAGUGCCUGGUGGGUAGUUUAACUGGGGCGGUUGCCUCCCAAAAUGUAACGGAGGCGCCCAAAGGUUCCCUCAGCCUGGUUGGCAAUCAGGUGUUGAGUGUAAGUGCACAAGGGAGCUUGACUGUGAGAGUGACAGCUCAAACAGGGACGAAAGUCGGGACUAGUGAUCCGGCACCUACUUAUGGAUGUGGUGUCGCUCAACGGAUAAAAGGUACCCCGGGGAUAACAGGCUGAUCUUCCCCAAGAGUUCAUAUCGACGGGAUGGUUUGGCACCUCGAUGUCGGCUCGUCGCAUCCUGGGGCUGGAGUAGGUCCCAAGGG